UGAUCCCCGACACAACGUUUAUUCUGUUAAAAAAAUGCACAUUCAUAAACCCUCUUAUGAAGGUGCAAGGUGAACUCUAAUGGCUCAUUUCUGAAUUCUGAAGUAGGAACCGGAGGUGAGUAAUUGUACAAAAAGCAUAGAGAGACUCUGUGUGUGUGUGUGUGUGUCUGUUCAUCACGCGCCGGCGAGUCGCCAAGGGAGAAAUGCCAACGGCGGGCAAGGUAGGGGACUGGGCAUUCAAGGCGUUCACAGCAGGUCUCGGCGUCGCCACCAUUUAUCUAGCCGCCACCUUCUCCGUCAACGUCUACCGCGGCCUCGCCUGGCACUCUUCCCAAUCGGUAUACCCCACCCCCCAGCACGUCCUAUCUAUGCAUGCGCGUGUUUAUUAAUUUGUUGUAUUGACGGAACCCUAGUUGCGAAUUCUAGAACACCGGAGCUGUUGCGAGGUUAUUGCAAGUGUGACAUAUUGAGGUUUUACUGAUUCUUCUGAUGAUAAAAGUAUAAUCAUUGAAGGACGUUAUAGAGACGAGAUUUAAUCCAGUUAAUUGGUUAAUUUCAUACGCCGAGGACAAUAUAGAUUAAUGCUAUGCACGAUAUCAUGCUCAAGUUCAUUCUCAACUUCAAUUGUUAAUUGAGAAUCUAGCAUCUUUGAUUUGGUACUGCCCGAUGUCUGAGGCAUACAUUUCAUGACGGGCCUAGAUAGUCUAGCAAAUGUGAAACUUCUUUCUGAUUUGAAUGUGGUUGAAGCUAUCGGUUUUGAAUACCGAUUCUUAUGGUGAACUAGGCAUCAAUUUACCCUAAAAGGGGGUGAGUUUUGGAAAAGCUUUAGAUUCAAAUCUAUUAAAAAUGUUUGUAAGUUAAAGUAGAAAGUCAUCCAAAACUAUCAUGGAUCUGUAUUUAGAGUUCUUCGUGUGCACAUAAUCCUUGCAUAUAUUUAAAAUAUCACCCAUCAAUUGUACCUUUGUAUAUGUGUGUAUAAUACAAUGUUGUGUGCAUAUCUUACAAGACACAUUAUCGUAUAGACAUAAUUGUCUAUAUAGAUAUUGUUGUUAGUGAACAAAUGGCAUUAUCCAAGAUAUUGAAAGAAAAACGUUAUGGAUGUUAGGAUUCUGGUGAACAGUUCCCGAGCCACCAUUUCUAAGUUCGUGGGAUUUUUGAGUGGCUUGAGUAGAGUUUUAUGAGAAAUUGAAUGAAUUAGGUGAUGUAAGUUGUUGUCAUUAGACAACUAUCUCCAAAGCAUGGGCAAAGGUUUAUUUUUCGCUCUUAUGUGACCCCUUUUAUUCACCAAUAGAAUAGUCGCAAAUCUAUGUACUUGGUGUAUGAACUACCUUUGAAGUCAGUAAUCUUAUUAGGGGUAAGGCAUCAUUCCUAGUCCAAAGGUGUAAUGGUUCUGCUGAGAUAAAUCAUUCUGGUAAUAAUGUUAGAGGGAAGGAGAGUCAGCCUAAAAAAGUGAGAUUACUGACUUUACAAGAUACUGGGAAAGUUCUACUGAUACAGUGUUUUCCUAGUCAUAAUUGCUAGAGGGAGAAACUAAGGCAAAUUUAUUGUAAGAUACUAAUGAAGGUUCGGAAGUGAGAGAGGAGGAACUGAAACUGUCUUCCAUUUCUCAGCUGCUCAUGGUUAAUGUAGAUCUCGAUUUGCUCUUAGAUUUGCUUUACCACCUUGAGUCAUAGACUUUGCUUAUGUCAACCUGCAUAUUGUGAGCGGUGGUGUUCUUGGCAAACAGCUGACUAAUUCAUGGUUAAUUUUCUGCAGAAAGCCAAAAAGGUGGAAUCCGAUUAUCAAAAGUCAGAAUGAAGUAUUGUUGCAGUACAAUUUGUGAUUUGCUCUUUUAAGAAUGUAUAUUAUGAAGAAACUUCAUUUAGUUGAUUAUAGAAUAACUUCUUGAGUUCCUGAGCUUGUACGUGUUCUGGUCAAAUUGCUUGGAUGUACAUUUACCUUUUUUGAAUUGUAGCAACAAAGGUAUUUCUUGAAUUGUUGGACAUGCCUCUUUGAAACGACAAUUUGCAGAAUACAGAAUGCAUUUACACAAGAAAUUGAAAGCAUGUUUAAGUUGUUUAUAAUUGAUAUAAGUAGUUAAUAAGUGGGAAGUACUCCGUAGAUCCCACAAAAUGUGUAGGUGCCUAAGAAGCAUU
rnacentral:lncRNA from 1 species